CAGCUCACUAGACUGCAACUGACACUGAUGCUCGAAAGUGUGGGUAUCAAACAGGAUUAGAUACCCUGGUAGUCCACACAGUAAACGAUGAAUACUCGCUGUUUGCGAUAUACAGUAAGCGGCCAAGCGAAAGCAUUAAGUAUUCCACCUGGGGAGUACGCCGGCAACGGUGAAACUCAAAGGAAUUGACGGGGGCCCGCACAAGCGGAGGAACAUGUGGUUUAAUUCGAUGAUACGCGAGGAACCUUACCCGGGCUUAAAUUGCAUUUGAAUAAUCUGGAAACAGGUUAGCCGCAAGGCAAAUGUGAAGGUGCUGCAUGGUUGUCGUCAGCUCGUGCCGUGAGGUGUCGGCUUAAGUGCCAUAACGAGCGCAACCCUUAUCUUUAGUUACUAACAGGUCAUGCUGAGGACUCUAGAGAGACUGCCGUCGUAAGAUGUGAGGAAGGUGGGGAUGACGUCAAAUCAGCACGGCCCUUACGUCCGGGGCUACACACGUGUUACAAUGGGGGGUACAGAAGGCAGCUACCUGGCGACAGGAUGCUAAUCCCAAAAACCUCUCUCAGUUCGGAUCGAAGUCUGCAACCCGACUUCGUGAAGCUGGAUUCGCUAGUAAUCGCGCAUCAGCCAUGGCGCGGUGAAUACGUUCCCGGGCCUUGUACACACCGCCCGUCAAGCCAUGAAAGCCGGGGGUACCUGAAGUACGUAACCGCAAGGAGCGUCCUAGGGUAAAACUGGUAAUUGGGGCUAAGUCGUAACAAGGUAG
rnacentral:rRNA from 1 species